UCCUGCUUAUACAGGCAGUCUGUCUAGAGUGCCCAGCAUUACCUGAUGGCAACUAAACACAGGGGUUGCGUUCGUUGCGGGACUUAACCCAACACCUCACGGCACGAACUGACGACAGCCAUGCAGCACCUGUGCAGCACCCUCGAAGGCUUCCCCGCUUUCACGGGAAAUGCAGCUGCAUGUCAAGCCCUGGUAAGGUUCUUCGCGUUGCAUCGAAUUAAGCCACAUGCUCCUCCGCUUGUGCGGGCCCCCGUCAAUUUCUUUGAGUUUUAACCUUGCGGCCGUACUCCCCAGGCGGUACACUUAACGCGUUAGCUCCGGCACGGAAGGGGUCAAAUCCUCCCACGCCAAGUGUACACCGUUUACAGUUGGGACUAC
rnacentral:misc_RNA from 1 species